ACGAAGUGCUGUAGCUUAGUGGCGGACGGGUGAGUAACACGUGAGCAACCUACCUUUUGCAGGGGAAUAACUCUGGGAAACCAGAGCUAAUACCGCAUGCCGUGCGCUUGGGGCAUCCCAGGUGCAUGAAAGGAGCAAUCCGGCAGAAGAUGGGCUCGCGUCCGAUUAGGUAGUUGGAGAGGUAAUGGCUCCCCAAGCCGACGAUCGGUAGCCGGACUGAGAGGUCGAUCGGCCACAUUGGGACUGAGACACGGCCCAGACUCC
rnacentral:rRNA from 1 species